GGGGUGUGGCUUAGUGGUAGAGCUUGUGCUUAGCAUGCUUAAAGGCCUGAGUUCAAUCUCCAGGCCUCU
rnacentral:tRNA from 1 species